ACUACCGAGCCAACUGAAUGUCAGAGGGCUUCCUAUCAUCCUGGGGACAACCCCACAGACGUCUUCAAAGGAGGCUUUGAAUCUGACGAUGAGGAUUCUUUUUGUGACCCAGACAUUGGGAUACUUCUUAUUGAGCGUGAAGGUGCUGUGCUCACAUCCUCCCAGCAUCUCAGUCCAGCCUUGUUGGAAACCAUCAUUGAGGGAGAAGUCGUGAUGGACAACAUUCAAGAUCUGCCAAAAGCAAUGUGCAUUGUGUUUGGACUCAUGUAUGCACUCCAUCUUAACUACCCCAAGACUAUGAAGCUCACAUUUCAGUUCAUCCAACAGGUAUUGCUCUUGUUAUUUCACACUGACUUAAAGCCAAAGCUACAGACUUUGAAAAAUCAGCUCGCAAUGUAAAGAGAUGUCAAGUCUACUUUAAGAAACUGUUGACUGUUUUUUUUUUCUUACCUGUGGGGUAAACCUUCUUAUUUUCUGUAAAACAGGUGGACAAACAGACGCAUAAAACGCAGACACACACACAGACACAUACAACACCCACAAACAAAACUGACACACCUAUACACAUAUUUUGUUUUUUGUUUUUUUGUUACUUGUGUGACAAGUUAAACUGAGCGGAGUUGUAGCGGAAAGACAUAGGACAUUGUUAUAUUAUAUACAUGUUUCAGUUCUUCAUCAGUCUAUGUAGAUUAAAUUAGAUAUUGUUCUGAUAUGAUAGUCUGUUGGUUCAUGCUCUGGCCUCCCUUCAUUGAGGCAGAUGAAACAGAUCCUUUUUGUGAUUAGCUGUGUUUGGCCAUUUUUCUUAAAAGUAAAAUGCAUUGGAGCAUUUA